GACGAACGCUGGCGGCGUGCUUAACACAUGCAAGUCGAACGGAAAGGCCCUGCUUUUGUGGGGUGCUCGAGUGGCGAACGGGUGAGUAACACGUGAGUAACCUGCCCUUGACUUUGGGAUAACUUCAGGAAACUGGGGCUAAUACCGGAUAGGAGCUCCUGCUGCAUGGUGGGGGUUGGAAAGUUUCGGCGGUUGGGGAUGGACUCGCGGCUUAUCAGCUUGUUGGUGGGGUAGUGUCUUACCAAGGCUUUGACGGGUAGCCGGCCUGAGAGGGUGACCGGCCCCAUUGGGACUGAGAUACGGCACAGACUCCUACGGGAGGCAGCAGUGGGGAAUAUUGCACAAUGGGCGGAAGCCUGAUGCAGCAACGCCGCGUGCGGGAUGACGGCCUUCGGGUUGUAAACCGCUUUCGCCUGUGACGAAGCGUGAGUGACGGUAAUGGGUAAAGAAGCACCGGCUAACUACGUG
rnacentral:rRNA from 1 species